rnacentral:rRNA from 1 species
GAUGAACGCUAGCUACAGGCCUUAACACAUGCAAGUCGCGGGGCAGCAUGGGGGUUGCUUGCAACCCCUGAUGGCGACCGGCGCACGGGUGAGUAACGCGUAUCCAACCUGCCCUUCACCACGGGAUAACCCGGCGAAAGUCGGAGUAAUACCGUAUGUUGUCCAUUGACGGCAUCCGAUUUGGACGAAAGGCUUAGCGGUGAGGGAUGGGGAUGCGUCCGAUUAGCUUGACGGCGGGGUAACGGCCCACCGUGGCUACGAUCGGUAGGGGUUCUGAGAGGAAGGUCCCCCACACUGGAACUGAGACACGGUCCAGACUCCUACGGGAGGCAGCAGUGAGGAAUAUUGGUCAAUGGGCGGAAGCCUGAACCAGCCAAGUAGCGUGCAGGAUGACGGCCCUAUGGGUUGUAAACUGCUUUUAUGCGGGGAUAAAGGAGCCCACGUGUGGGCUUUUGCAGGUACCGCAUGAAUAAGACCG